CCCUGGGUGGUGCAAAUGGGUAACACUCUUGGCUGUUAACCAAAAGGUUGGAGGUUCAAGUCCACCCAGAGGCA
rnacentral:tRNA from 1 species